rnacentral:rRNA from 1 species
GACGAACGCUGGCGGCGUGCCUAAUACAUGCAAGUCGAACGAGGGGCGGACGGGUGAGUAAUGUCUGGGUAACUGCCUGAUGGAGGGGGAUAACUACUAGAAACGGUCGCUAAUACCGCAUAACAUCAGCUGUGCCCAGAUGGGAUUAGCUUGUUGGUGGGGUAACGGCUCACCAAGGCGACGAUCCCUAGCUGGUCUGAGAGGAUGACAAGCCACACUUGAACUGAGACACGGCCCAGACUCCUACGGGAGGCAGCAGUGGGGAAUAUUGCACAAUGGGCGCAAGCCUGAUACAGCCAUGCCGCGUGUAUGAAGAAGGCCUUCGGGUUGUAAAGUACUUUCAGCGGGGAGGCGUUACCCGCAGAAGAAGCACCGGCUAACUCCGUGCCAGCAGCCGCGGUAAUUC